rnacentral:rRNA from 1 species
AUGGAGGGCGCCGCCCAGCUCCUGACUGACGGAUUCGCCGGCUCCCCGCUCCUCGGGGAAGAGAGGAAGAAAGGCGAAGGAGAAGGGGCACAAGGUAGAGACGAGCUCCUGUUGAGGCGGCCGGGCUCGGUGUGGGCUGGUUCAUCCGGAUCGAGCCCUUCCUGCCCGGGCGUCUCCAUCGCCAUGGACGGCCUGCACAGCGCCGACGCCUGCUUCUCUCUUGGGAGGGCCAUGUCGCCUCAGGUCCGGCCCCCCAUCGGCCCGCCGGACGUAGGCAGGUAA